AAAGCUUCUACUAAAUAUACGCAUUAUUUGAGCAAAACUACGAAGAUAUAGUUAAUUCUUGAAAUCUAUUAAUGCAAGUUUGCAAAUGUUU